GACAGAGGAUGCAAGCGUUAUCCGGAAUGAUUGGGCGUAAGCGUCUGUAGGUGGCUUUCAAGUCCGCCGUCAAUCCCAGGGCUCAACCCUGGACCAGGCGGUGGAAACUACCAAGCUGGAGUACGGUAGGGGCAGAGGGAAUUUCCGGUGGAGCGGUGAAAUGGCAUUGAGAUCGGAAGAACACCAACGGCGAAAGCACUCUGCUGGGCCGACACUGAC
rnacentral:rRNA from 1 species